CACGUAGGCGGCUUUGUAAGUCAGGGGUGAAAUCCCACGGCUCAACCGUGGAACUGCCCUUGAAACUGCAGAGCUUGAAUCCUGGAGAGGGUGGCGGAAUUCCUGGUGUAGGAGUGAAAUCCGUAGAUAUCAGGAGGAACACCGGUGGCGAAGGCGGCCACCUGGACAGGCAUUGACGCUGAGGUGCGAAAGUGUGGGGAGCAAAACA
rnacentral:rRNA from 1 species